rnacentral:rRNA from 1 species
UACGAAGGGGGCUAGCGUUGUUCGGAAUUACUGGGCGUAAAGCGCGCGCAGGCGGUUCUUCAAGUCAGAGGUGAAAGCCCAGAGCUCAACUCUGGAAUGGCCUUUGAGACUAGAGAACUUGGGUACGGGAGAGGUGAGUGGAAUUCCGAGUGUAGAGGUGAAAAUUCGUAGAUAUUGGGAAGAACACCGGUGGCGAAGGCGGCGACCUGGUCCGAUACUGACGCUGAGGCGCGAAAGCGUGGGGAGCAAACAGG